rnacentral:tmRNA from 1 species
AACCUUUCAAUUGGCGCAAAACCACCCUAUAUACAAGGUGUCGGGCAACCGACUAUGACGAUAAAUUGCCUGUGUAAUAAACCUAUCGGACCCGGGGGCGGUACCCGGCGCCUCCACCAAAAACCAUCUCGCAAUGAGCGCCGGAUGGCUUUUGAUGGGGGCGAAAUAGGAUCGACGAGGGCGUAAAGACUGUGUUUUCGUUCGGUAUUGUACCACCGUUAUCGGGCUACAACGAUAGUUGCAAAUGA